AUUGAACGCUGGCGGCAUGCUUUACACAUGCAAGUCGAACGGUAACAGGCCGCAAGGUGCUGACGAGUGGCGAACGGGUGAGUAAUGCAUCGGAACGUGCCCAGUCGUGGGGGAUAACGCAGCGAAAGCUGUGCUAAUACCGCAUACGAUCUAUGGAUGAAAGCGGGGGACCGUAAGGCCUCGCGCGAUUGGAGCGGCCGAUGUCAGAUUAGGUAGUUGGUGGGGUAAAGGCUCCCCCAGACCACGAUCUGUAGCUGGUCUGAGAGGACGACCAGCCACACUGGGACUGAGACACGGCCCAGACUCCUACGGGAGGCAGCAGUGGGGAAUUAUGGACAAUGGGCGCAAGCCUGAUCCAGCAAUGCCGCGUGCAGGAAGAAGGCCUUCGGGUUGUAAACUGCUUUUGUACGGAACGAAACGGUCUGGGUUAAUACCCUGGGCUAAUGACGGUACCGUAAGAAUAAGCACCGGCUAACUACGUGCCAGCCGCCGCGGUAACAC
rnacentral:rRNA from 1 species